rnacentral:lncRNA from 1 species
CAUCUUAACAAAACAACCUAAAGAAUUAGAUUCUUCUUCUUCCUCUUCGUACUCAUGCCAACUUUUGUGGACUGUGGUUGAAGCUUGCUUCAGCUUCUCCUCCAUUACCGCUUAUCUUAGAAGUACUAACAUUUGAAACUUGAAGCUGUGAUUUCGAUCCUCAGAUUUCCAGAUUGCUACGAUUGUGUCCCAAGGAAACCCACUCUUCCAGCACUCCACAAUACACAGCUUCAGCAUAUGUUUCAGAAACGCCACAACUAAUUGAGCAAUUCACAAACAACUUGAUCGGCACAGAGUCAUCCAUCGAUUUUAGAAUCAAAAUCAUUCUGAGGUUGAGGAAACUCUGAUCAAUAGGCGAUUAGGGAUCAUAGAGAG